rnacentral:rRNA from 1 species
AUACGGAGGGUGCGAGCGUUAAGCGGAAUUACUGGGCGUAAAGCGUACGUAGGCGGUUUGCUAAGUCAGAUGUGAAAGCCCCGGGCUUAACCUGGGAACUGCAUUUGAUACUGGCAGACUAGAGUAUGUUAGAGGGGGGUAGAAUUCCUGGUGUAGCGGUGAAAUGCGUAGAUAUCAGGAGGAAUACCAGUGGCGAAGGCGGCCCCCUGGAUCAAUACUGACGCUGAGGUACGAAAGCGUGGGGAGCGAACAGAAUUAGAAACCCCAGUAGUCC